GCUUUCUCUUUACCACAAAGAAAUCAAAAUUCUGUGUAUAACAUCCGAGUCUGUUGCCAUAGAAACAGCGGUGCCAUAGAGACAGCAUGACUUCUCUGUAGAAUCAAGUAUGAUGGAAAGACAGGCUGAGGGAACAGAAACUUGCUUAAAAUAUAAACAAGAGAAUUAACUAAAAAUGGUUCUUAACAUUAAUUUCAGGUGGUGGCCAAAUAGCGUGGAGUCUCCCUGGAGUUUUGUCAUCUUGCUCUGAGGGAUUCAGUGCUGCAGCAUGGACUAAAACUAUUUGUCAAAUUUUACAAGUCCAGACAAUCCAAGAGAAACAAGAAGGCUCC